UACAGAGGUCCCAAGCGUUGUUCGGAUUCACUGGGCGUAAAGGGUGCGUAGGCGGUCGGGUAAGUCUGAUGUGAAAUCUCACAGCUUAACUGUGAAACUGCAUUGGAUACUAUCCGGCUCGAGGAAUGGAGGGGAGACUGGAAUACUUGGUGUAGCAGUGAAAUGCGUAGAUAUCGGGAGGAACACCUGUGGCGAAAGCGGCGCACUGGACCAUAACUGACGCUGAGGCGCGAAAGCUAGGGGAGCAAACAGG
rnacentral:rRNA from 1 species